UACGUAGGGCGCAAGCGUUAUCAGAAUUAUUGGGCGUAAAGAGCUCGUAGGCGGGUUGUCGCGUCUGGCGUGAAAGUCCGGGGCUCAACUCCGGAUCUGCGGUGGGUACGGGCAGACUAGAGUGAUGUAGGGGAGACUGGAAUUCCUGGUGUAGCGGUGAAAUGCGCAGAUAUCAGGAGGAACACCGAUGGCGAAGGCAGGUCUCUGGGCAUUAACUGACGCUGAGGAGCGAAAGCAUGGGGAGCGAACAGG
rnacentral:rRNA from 1 species